AAAAAAAAAAAGUUGUACAUUAACAUCAAGUCCCUUUCAUGUCAUUAUUAUUAUUAUUUUUUUUUUUUUUAAGAUUUAUUUAUGGGCUUUUUAGCCUUUAUUUGGAUAGGACAGUGAAGUAUUCUUGGACAUGAAGUGAGGAGGAGUGAAGAGGAUCGGGAAACGACAGCAGGCCGGAAUCGAACCUGUGUCCCCGCGGGCCUUGUAGCCCGUAAAUGGGGGCGCGCCACAGUGCCCCCCCUUUCAUGUCAAUAUUAGGUCAUAUAAAACAAAUACAUUAAC
ensembl:lncRNA